UGGCUCAGUAACACGUGGAGAAUCUAACCUUUGGUGGAGGAUAAUCUCGGGAAACUGAGAAUAAUACUCCAUAAACAUAGGAUGCUGGAAUGCUUCUAUGUUGAAAGGCAACGCCAAAGGAUGACUCUGCGACCUAUCAGGCUGUAGUGAGUGUAAUGGACUCACUAACCUGCAACGGGUACGGGUGUUGGAAGACAUUGCCCAGAGAUGGACUCUGAGACAUGAGUCCAGGUUCUACGGAACGCAGCAGGCGCGAAAACUCCGCAAUGUACGAAAGUACGACGGGGGAAUUCUGAGUGCUUACGCCUUGCGUAGGCUGUUUUCUUGUCUAAAAAACAAGGAGAGUAAGGGCUGGGUAAGACGGGUGCCAUCUCGUGCAAUUCUGCACUUAUUGUGUUCGUUGCACGAAGCACAAGCCGCCGCGGUAAUACCCGCGGCCCGAGUGGUGCUCAUUAUUAUUGAGCCUAAAACGUCCGUAGCCGGUUUAAUAAAUUCUUGGGUAAAUCAUAUCGCUUAACGAUAUGAAUUCUGAGAACACUGCUAAACUCGGGAAUGGGAGAGGCCAGAGGUACUUUCAGGGUAGGGGUAAAAUCCCGUAAUCCUGAGAGGACCACCGGUGGCGAAGGCGUCUGGCUAGAACAUAUUCGACGGUAAGGGACGAAGCCCUGGGGCGCAAACGGGAUUAGAUACCCCGGUAGUCCAGGGUGUAAACGCUGUAGAUUUGGUGUUGGAAAUCCUACGGGGAUUCCCAGUGCCGGAGAGAAGUUGUUAAAUCUACUGCUUGGGGGAGUACGGUCGCAAGACUGAAACUUAAAGGAAUUGGCGGGGGAGCGCCGCAACGGGUGGAGCGUGCGGUUUAAUUGGAUUCAACGCCGAGAAACUCACCGGGGGCGACCAUUAUAUG
rnacentral:rRNA from 1 species